AUCCAGUUGACGAGUCCCAAAUAGGACGAAACGAGCAACCUGGAC
rnacentral:hammerhead_ribozyme from 1 species